UACGUAGGGUGCAAGCGUUGUCCGGAAUUAUUGGGCGUAAAGAGCUCGUAGGCGGUUUGUCGCGUCUGCUGUGAAAACUCGGGGCUCAACCCCGAGCUUGCAGUGGGUACGGGCAGACUAGAGUGCGGUAGGGGAGACUGGAAUUCCUGGUGUAGCGGUGAAAUGCGCAGAUAUCAGGAGGAACACCGGUGGCGAAGGCGGGUCUCUGGGCCGAUACUGACGCUGAGGAGCGAAAGCGUGGGGAGCGAACAGG
rnacentral:rRNA from 1 species